rnacentral:rRNA from 1 species
CCUACGGGGGGCAGCAGUGGGGAAUAUUGGACAAUGGGGGCAACCCUGAUCCAGCCAUGCCGCGUGUGUGAAGAAGGCCCUCGGGUUGUAAAGCACUUUCAGUGAGGAAGAACGCCUUGUGGUUAAUACCCAUCAGGAAAGACAUCACUCACAGAAGAAGCACCGGCUAACUCCGUGCCAGCAGCCGCGGUAAUACGGAGGGUGCGAGCGUUAAUCGGAAUUACUGGGCGUAAAGCGCGCGUAGGUGGCUUGAUAAGCCGGUUGUGAAAGCCCCGGGCUCAACCUGGGAACGGCAUCCGGAACUGUCAAGCUAGAGUGCAGGAGAGGAAGGUAGAAUUCCCGGUGUAGCGGUGAAAUGCGUAGAGAUCGGGAGGAAUACCAGUGGCGAAGGCGGCCUUCUGGACUGACACUGACACUGAGGUGCGAAAGCGUGGGUAGCAAACAGGAUUAGAUACCCUAGUAGUC